UACGUAGGGCGCAAGCGUUGUCCGGAAUUACUGGGCGUAAAGCGUGCGCAGGCGGUUCGUUGUGUCGGCGGUGAAAGCCCCGGGCUCAACCUGGGAAUGGCAAUGGAUACUGGCAAGCUAGAGUGCGGUAGAGGGUAGUGGAAUUCCCGGUGUAGCGGUGAAAUGCGUAGAGAUCGGGAGGAACACCAGUGGCGAAGGCGGCUACCUGGACCAGCACUGACACUGAGGCACGAAAGCGUGGGGAGCAAACAGG
rnacentral:rRNA from 1 species